GAUGAACGCUAGCGGCAGGCUUAACACAUGCAAGUCGAGGGGUAUAGUUUUCGGACUAAGAGACCGGCGCACGGGUGCGUAACGCGUAUGCAAUCUGCCUUUCACAGAGGGAUAGCCCAGAGAAAUUUGGAUUAAUACCUCAUAGUAUUAUAGACUGGCAUCGGUUUAUAAUUAAAGUCACAACGGUGAAAGAUGAGCAUGCGUCCCAUUAGCUAGUUGGUAAGGUAACGGCUUACCAAGGCGACGAUGGGUAGGGGUCCUGAGAGGGAGAUCCCCCACACUGGUACUGAGACACGGACCAGACUCCUACGGGAGGCAGCAGUGAGGAAUAUUGGUCAAUGGACGCAAGUCUGAACCAGCCAUGCCGCGUGCAGGAUGACGGUCCUAUGGAUUGUAAACUGCUUUUGUACGAGAAGAAACACUCCUACGUGUAGGAGCUUGACGGUAUCGUAAGAAUAAGGAUCGGCUAACUCCGUGCCAGCCGCCGCAGUAAAAC
rnacentral:rRNA from 1 species